UGGCGCAGGCAGCGGGCCGGUGCCGCUUCCCGGCCAGGCCGUGCGAGAGGAGGCGCUGGGCGGUGAGGAAGAGGAGGAGGCGGCCGGGCAGCCCCGGGCAGGCGGCGACGGGGACGGGGACGGAGGGCGAGGCCUGGGCUCCCGGGCGCCUGGAGCUGGGACUCGGCCGCUUCCAGCAACUGUUCGGCGGCGGGAGCAGCGAGGAGAGUGACGAGUUUCCCGGAUUCACGUCAGAUGAUGAGACAGUGACGAGCUCCCUGCGCCUGGCCCUGCGCUCACAGAAACACAGAACAUUAAAUACAGACACCGUGAACAAGACCAAGACCAAGACCAAGACCACUUGUCCGUCUCCGGGGGCGGUUGCCGAGACGACGCCCCACCCCCCGCCGGGCGCCCCACCCCCCCGCCCGCUUCAGGACGGCCCCUCCCCCGCCCGGCCCCUCCCCCGGGCCCCACAAACCCCGGGGCCGA